rnacentral:tRNA from 1 species
GCCUGGGUGGCUCAGUUGGUUGGGCAUCUGACUUCAGCUCAGGUCAUGAUCUUGCAGUUUGUGGAUUCGAGCCCCUCAUUGGGCU